UAGCAGGCUUCAAGGCCUGGGCCCAUUCUGAACCAAAGGAAUUUCUCUUUGACGCCUGUAAUGUGUCCUUACAGAUAACUGUCACAGUGAGCCCUUGUGUCAGAGAACUCUGGCAGUGAGGAGCUUUCGAGACAACAGCAGACUGCACGGAACUGUGGUGACAACACUCAGAAAACACUGCACUGGAACUGCAUGCAGAACAGUGGGAUAAAAGCACAGAAAGUAAAAACAAUUUUAAAAGAGAAUAGACAUCAUAGUGAAGAAAUGAGACUAGCAUGGGUAACUUGGUGAGCAAACCACACAUAAAACUCGCCAACUGUUUAGACCAAAGGCAGAUUGAUUAAGCAAAUGGAAAUUCAAGAACCUACAGACACUAAUGCUUAUUUCUGGCUGCACACUGAUCAUGGCAGCAUCUGAAGCAGAGUGUUACCUGCAGAUGUCCUGGCUGGAUGGCGUGAUAGAAGUGCGAGAGAAGGAGGACACCGGAGCCGGAGCUGAUGCUGACGGAGGACUCCCAGCCUGCAAUGACAGACCUGUGGUCAGUGUUCAGCUCAAGAACAUCUCAUAGCCUCAGCAAAGUUAACAGAGACGGCAUCCACAAAAAAUCAGACAGAGGGAGCAAAUGGCAACACUGGAACAGCCCUGCCAAAUGAAAUUACAUGUCUGGCUUACACACACACGUGGGAAAUAAUACCACAAAACAGAACAAAGACCCUUUGUUCUGUCUUCUAUGCAUUUUUCCACCCUAUGAGAAGCUAAAAGAUCUUCCCAGAAUGAAUGCUCCAGCAGAAAGAAUUGGAGUGGCUUCUGAAAACAACACUUCCUCUAGAAAAUAGCAAUAGAGCCUGAAGGUACUUCUCUCAGAGACUAGGCUUCCUGGCAGCUAAUACAAGAGGUGAUGAGUGCACAUCGUAUCUCAGGUGUCUCAUAAAGAAUUCUGGUUGCUCUUGGUUGUCUGAGAUAAAAG
rnacentral:lncRNA from 1 species